AUGGAGCCUGCCUGUCUGGCGAUGGGGUGGGAGUCGGAUAGGCGCGCGGCGGUGAUUGUGCAGUCACGGAGACAGCUCUGCAGUCCCGAUGGUGUCGCUGCUGCGGUGGUUCCAUUCCGGCGGCAUCGUGGGCGCGUUCAAAACAGGGCUCGUCCAUGGGGUGGCCCGCCCAUCAAGACAGAGGCAUAUUAUCAAGAGAUCAUCAACAUAGAUGUGCGUUUCUCGCAAUGGAUUACUGGGAAGAUGAAGCAAUGGCCCUCUUCCCUCUCCGUCAAUACAGUUUUACAGGCUAAUCAGCUGGCACCUUAG
rnacentral:rRNA from 1 species